AAUAAGAGAUAUCGGGUGCAGGGCCUUCUCCUCCUCCGGCUGUUCUCCUUCACAGCUGUCGGCCACUGUACCGCACAGGCGGUAUCUCGCUUCGUGUGCAAAAAAGUCCGUC
rfam:Clostridiales bacterium 42_27 Ley3_66761_scaffold_4579, whole genome shotgun sequence.